GUAGGUGGCAAGCGUUGUCCGGAAUUAUUGGGGCGUAAAGCGCGCGCAGGCGGUUCUUUAAGUCUGAUGUGAAAGCCCACGGGCUCAACCGUGGAGGGUCAUUGGAAACUGGAGAACUUGAGUACAGAAGAGGAAAGCGGAAUUCCACGUGUAGCGGUGAAAUGCGUUGAGAUGUGGAGGAACACCAGUGGCGAAGGCGGCUUUCUGGUCUGUAACUGACGCUGAGGCGCGAAAGCGUGGGGAGCAAACAGGAUUAGAUACCCUGGUAGUCCACGCCGUAAACGAUGAGUGCUAAGUGUUAGGGGGUUUCCGCCCCUUAGUGCUGCAGCUAACGCAUUAAGCACUCCGCCUGGGGAGUACGGCCGCAAAGGCUG
rnacentral:rRNA from 1 species